GAUGAACGCUGGCGGCGUGCCUAAUACAUGCAAGUCGAGCGAACAGACGAGGAGCUUGCUCCUCUGACGUUAGCGGCGGACGGGUGAGUAACACGUGGAUAACCUACCUAUAAGACUGGGAUAACUUCGGGAAACCGGAGCUAAUACCGGAUAAUAUAUUGAACCGCAUGGUUCAAUAGUGAAAGACGGUUUUGCUGUCACUUAUAGAUGGAUUCGCGCCGCAUUAGCUAGUUGGUAAGGUAACGGCUUACCAAGGCAACGAUGCGUAGCCGACCUGAGAGGAUGAUCAGCCACACUGGAACUGAGACACGGGCCAGACUCCUACGGGAGGCAGCAGUGGGGAAUAUUGGACAAUGGGCGCAAGCCUGAUCCAGCCAUACCGCGUGGGUGAAGAAGGCCUUCGGGUUGUAAAGACCUUUUGUUGGGAAAGAAAAGCAGCAGGUUAAUAACCCGCUGUUCUGACGGUACCCAAAGAAUAAGCACCGGCUAACUUCGUG
rnacentral:rRNA from 1 species